rnacentral:lncRNA from 7 species
GGUUUUCUUCACCUCAGAAGUCAGGAAAUACUUCGAGAUGCACUACGUGUGGGAAGAAAGAAGAAGACUUGUAUUUCUUUUCCACCCAAACCCUGAUCUUGCUGAUUAUUACUUCUAAAAGGAGCCAAGAGGUACAGUCAUGCACUAGACUAAGAGGAAUGCCCAUGGAAACCUUGUGAAGUAUUGCAGAGAGCUGCAAUUCGCUCUGAAAAGAGACUUGCAUAGGAACAGGUGUGUCAAUCAGACUGAAGGUCAAACUGCCACAGCUUUCUCAGGGUGUGGCUGCAAUGCAGCCUGUGCUGUUCUUGGACAAAAGCUGUGGUUCAAAAUUCCUGCCUCUUGAACAGAAAACAGAGAGUAUCAGAACAUCCUCACCAUGUCCUGCUGAACUUGUGUUCUACUAUCCUCUAGAAGAAACACAGAGCAGGACUAGUUACAUCAGUAACUCAGCAGUACUCUGGCCCUGAAAGCUAAUCCAAAUUCUCAUGUUAAACAGAUCACUAAGCCUCACUGCUCACCCAGGGGCUGGAUUUUCAGCUCAUUUCCCAGGAUUCCAAAAGAUGCAAAGUGAACUCAUCAUGAAAUCAUAACUCUUAUGCUGACAGAGCUAAAACACAAUUUAGGACACUACUAAGAAUGUCGUAUAGGGAAAACCUUAUACUUGUUUUUUUCUUGCAGAGAUUGCAAUAUCAGAAGCUAUCAGUUGUUUCAGGUAUCAAGGAGGGAUUGAAUAUUGAGUUUAUAGUGAUGCUUGGUACACAGAUAGUACUGCUGGUAUUUAGCAUUGCUGUGGGAAUUCAUUUUAACAUGGAGACAUAAUAACAACUUCACAUGAACCUUAAUAAAGUAAAAUAAUAAUUCAUUAU